CGGAGACGAUCCUCACCUGUGAUAUAUUUAGCGUGUUUUUACCUGAGACUUUCUGGCACUGCUGACAGCACCGUUCUGCUGUAGACUGCCGACAUGAGGACACUAUGGGCCUGGUGGUUCUGUCUGCUCACCCUUUGCACAGUUUGUAGCAGCACGCAAGAUGACUGGAAUGCAGUAGUCCAUCAGCACGGCAUACUGGGUUUCCAUUCAAAUGAUAACCGUCAGGAGUUGAUUAAGAAUUUCAUUCAGAAGUCAUUGAUCACCAUAGCUGAAGAGGUUCAAAAGGAAAGCGAUGACUUGGAGUCUGCGGCACAAACAGGUCAGCAGUCCGUCACUGCGACUGUCCAAACCACGCUGAGAAAUGGAGCCCAACACGCGGAUGAUGUACCGUCUGGCGCCGCAACAACACGAUCCAGGAAGACAGCAACCACACGAUCGCAUAUGACGUGCCUUCUGGCGGCAGCAGCAAUGACGCAUCAAGAACGACUUGCCUUCUGGCGGCAG
rnacentral:lncRNA from 1 species